AUUAACUUCAAUAGUAUGAAACUUCCGAGAGUGGUAAGUACCGCAGUUAUAGAAGGUAAUCAUCACCCUUAUUGAUAAAUGAAGAAACUAAGUUUAGAUGGUCAAGAUAAUUUUCCCAGGAUUAUGUAACUGACAAGUCAGAGAACGGGAAAUUUACCUAUCUAAGCUUUGUUUUUUCCAAAACGAUGCACUGUAUGUUAAGAAAAUAAAUUUUUAGACAAAAGUAACAAGUCAUUUGAGCAUUUAAAAUAGCUAAAAGCUACAAUCACACAGACACACAUACACACACACACACAUAUCCAACAACAAGGAAGGUAGAGGUAUUUUGGCAUUUGAAAUUAUCCUAGUAAGAAAUGAUAAAUGUCUGAAAUAGUGUAGAAUUAUUUCCCUUUACUGUCAGAGGCUAAAUUGAUGUUGGAAACAUUACUUUCUUUGAUAAUAAAGUAUUGUCAUUAUUAAGUGUUUAUAAGGUAUAUGUGAAUAAAUCACAUAGUUACUUUUAAAGGUAACUCAUGCUGGUGAAAAGAUAUGGAGAGGCAAAAAAGCCAAUGUUUUAAAGUUUUAAUAUAUUUUUAAGUGUAUGAAGCAACCAAUUUAUUUUGAUAUAAUCAGUGGUGAAAGUAAUGGCAUCAAGCAUCCGUGGAGGCUUUUAAUGAGAAUCAUGUGCUAUGUAAAGCUGUUGGACAGAGUUUAAAGGAUCAGAAUGUUGGAGGAUAUAAAAAAAAAAUGGCAAAUGCCCAGUUGCUUUUGUAAGGGAUUUUAAAUUAAAGCAGCAAACCUUUUAAAGCAUCACACAGUGGGCAAAAUGAAAAUGAAAGCUAAUUAACCUGAAUUAUUUUUCAGUUGUACAAUUUUGCAAUAAUCUUCCAUGGAGUUCAUGACCAGAGGAUGACUAGACCUUGAGAAGUAUUUGAAGAAGGGGUCAAGGUGGGAGCCAAGGCAACCAUCUGAAACAGCUGGCCUGCCUGGGCAUGUCUGAGCCAGAUGUCUACUUCUGGUCCAGAGUUAGAAUUAUGUAUAAAAUCAGGCUGGAGUGUAAUGGCGUGACCUCGGCUCACUGCAACCUCUGCCUCACGAGUUCAAGUGAUUCUCCUGCCUCAGUCUCCCGAGUAGCUGGGAUUACAGGCAUGCGCCACCACACCCAGCUAAUUUUGUAGUUUUAGUAGAGAUGGGGUUUCUCCAUGUUGGUCAGGCUGGUCUCGAACUCCCGGCUCCAGGUGAUCCAUCUGCCUUGGUCUCCCAAAAUGCUGGGAUUGCAGGCAUGAGCCACAGCGCCUGGCCUACUCAUACGUCUAUAUUUGUUGCAGAAAAUGAUAAAGCGUUCAAUAAAAUAAUUCUAUGCAGUAGAAUAAAUUUUUUGUGGAAGUGAAAUAGAACUAUGCGUUCAAAGAAAAAAAAGAACAGUCAAAGAUUUCCAGAUGCUACGAAUGAACAUGUUCAUGAAUAAUUCUAUAUGGAUGAUGGCAGGGAUCAAAUUGCCAUUAUAUUUUCAAUUUCAUCGAAUAUGUUGUUAAAAUUGAUAGAUUUUAUUUCAAAAUAUUUCUGUUUAUAAUGUACCAAAGAUUAUACACCAUUUACAACUAUUACAAUGAAAACAUUUAAAUGUCAACCUAAAACAUUUACAAGUGAGUUCCUAGUUUUUGAAAAUUAUAUAAAAGGCAAUUGAAAAAAGAAAAAAACACUGUCUUGGAACACAUAUAUCCCUGUAACCAUCCACCUAGAAUUUG
rnacentral:lncRNA from 1 species